GGAGAUUUCCAAAUUUAUAAGAAAAACCUAGAAAAAUCAAAGUAAAAACAGAAAAAUAAGUAUAACAUUAAACAAAUAUUAUUAAAGGAAAUAUAUAAUGCAUAUGUAAUUAUUUUACCAAAAUAUGACAUAUUUAUAGUUAAUAAAUCAACACUAUUCACCAAACUUCGCUCAGAAUCGUUUUUCGUUAGAAAUGGUUAAUCGUUGAGUACAGAUAUAAGAGUAUAUUCAAUUUCACCUCCAUAGAUAAAUACCUCUAAAAGGUAUAAAGAAUAUCUUCCCAAUUUCUAACUGACAACAGUGGCUUACCCAUCGUGUAUGUUCGUAUUUUUUACAAAGAUACGGACAUCUUUGCACUAAUGAAUAACACGUUUGGGUAGAUUACUGAUGUAUAAAAAACACUACAUAGCCCACUUGAAAUGCAUGCAGUGUACUAUAAUAGGUACCUAUC